ACGUAGGAGGCGAGCGUUAUCCGGAGUUACUGGGCGUAAAGCGCGUGUAGGUGGUCUGUUGCGUCUGCUGUGAAAUGUCCCGGCUUAACCGGGAAGGUGCGGCGGAUACGGGCAGACUAGAGGGUGACAGAGGAGCGUAGAAUUCCGGGUGUAGUGGUGAAAUGCGUAGAGAUCCGGAGGAAUACCAGUGGCGCAAGCGGCGCUCUGGGUCGAGCCUGACACUGAGACGCGAAGGCAUGGGGAGCGAACGGGA
rnacentral:rRNA from 1 species